rnacentral:lncRNA from 1 species
ACAAAUACGUAGAACUCUAUCUGACCAUCUGGGUUUCAUUUUAACUUUUACUUUACGUUCUGGUUCUUUACCUCCUCUACCAAUUAUACUGAAGAAAUAAAAGAAGAGAACAGUAAAAUUCCUGUGAAAGAAUCACUCCAGGGAUCUUGGAAUUUUAUUGGUUAUCAAGGUGAAAGGAAACUCAUUCUCUGUGAUAUCUGAAAUUACAGGACUGAUAAUUUAAAGCCCUUAUACCAAUAGUUUGUAUCACAUAUAAAAGUCCACAGUGGAACUUGAGAGAAUCCUACAUGAAUUUCUAACUCUUCAUACACACUAUCUUACUAUCAUAAACAUUGAAAACAUUAUGAAAUAAUCUGAAAUGAAUAUGAUUAGAUAUGUUUUUAGUAGUAGCCUACUUGAGAAAUAAUAUUAAACCAACAAGACUUCUUUUAAAAAUGUGCAGUAUCCCAAAGCUAUAAGAGAUAAACAAAAUUGUUUCAUUCCUGGCUCCAAACUCUUGGCUUUUUACUUCCUCUGUUAUACCUGCCUCUGUAACUCUUGAAUUUGGCACAUUUUUAGACUCUUCUCCUGCCAUUGUGUAUAUUGGUUCCUGAUAUGGUUUGGCUCUGUGUCGCCUUCCAAAUCUCAUGUUGAAUUGUAAUCCCCAUGUGUUGAAGGAGGGGCUUGGUAGGAGGUGAUUGAAUCACAGGGGUGGACGUCCCUCUUGCUGUUCUUGUGACAGUGAGUGAGUCCUCAUGAGAUCUGGUUGUUUAAAAGUGGGUAGAACCGGCUGGGCACAGUGGCUCACGCCUGUAAUCCCAGCACUUUGGGAAACUGAGGUAGGCGGAUCACGAGGUUAACAGAUCGAGACCAUCCUGGCCAACAUGGUGAAAUUCCAUCUCUACUAAAAAUACAAAAAUUAGCUGGGCAUGGUGGCACGUGCCUGUAGUCCCAGCUACUCGGGAGGCUGAGGCAGGAAAAUUGUUUGAACCCGGGAGGUGGAGGUUGCAGUGAGCCAAGAUCGCACCACUACACUCCAGCCUAGCGACAGAGCAAGACUCUGUCUCAAAAAAAAAAAAAAAAAAAAAAAAAAAAAGUGGGUAGAACCUCUCCCUUCACUCUCCUGCUCCUGCUCCGCCAUAUGAAGAAGGUGCUUGCUUGCCCUCCACUUUCCGCCAUGACUGUAAGUUUCCUGAGGUCUCCCCGCAACGCUUCCUGUACAGCCUGUGGAACUGUGAGUCAACGAAACCUCUUUUCUUCAUAAAUUACUCAGUCUCAGGUAGUUUUUUAUAGCAGUGUGAGAAUGAACUAAUACAGUUCGCCUGCCCGUGAUGACUCCUUUAACCUCACUGUCUCUCCUAUCCUCAAAGGCCAGUAAUUGAAUUUUCUGUAAAAAUAGAGGAUUUGCAAAGUUUCCCUUGUGCUUCACAGACAUCUUCAGAAAGAAACUUGAAUUUGACAUGUUCAAAACUGAAUCUACUGUCAUCCAAACAAGCCACAUCCUUCUUUUGACUUCUAUAUAUCAGACCACACCACCAGCAUUCUUUCAGUUACCCAAACUUCUUUUCCCCUUUCUCCUCAUAAUGUCAAGCCAUAUAGGCUCCACCUCAAAAUUCUCACAUCCCUUUUAGCUUUUCUAUUCCAAGCUCAGUAACCUCUUAACCCGUUUCCCAGCCACCAGCUCUUACCAUUUCAAUCAGGCCUGUGAACCACCUCUCAAAUAAUUAUUUUAAUAACAGAUCCAAUAAUAUUACUUCCUUGACAAGAAGUCCUCAAUGUUUCUCAUUGCCUACCAACUUAACGUAAAUUCUCUCUCUGGCAUUCAAGAUCAUCUAAAAUAUAUCUGGCACUUAUCUUGCUCUACACCUUACACCCUGAUUUGGACCUUAAACUCUCACCAUGCUCAAUAGCCCAAUCUUCUCUGAACAGACCUGAACUUUGUUCCCUUGCUGUCUUCCCCCGCCACACCCCCACUAAGAAUCAUCCUAGUCCCUUCUGUCCAGAACAACACUUUCCAAUAGAACUUUCUGUGAGAAUGGAAAUGAUCUACAAUUUUGUGCUGAUGAAUACAGUAGCUGGAAGCAACAUGUAAUAGUUAACUCUUGGACAUUUGGCUGGUGCAACUGGAGAGUUAACUUCUUAAUUGUAUUUGAUUCUAAUUAAUUUAAACUUUCACAUGUGGCUGGUGGCUACUGGACAGUGCAA